CCUACGGGAGGCAGCAGUAGGGAAUCUUUCACAAUGGGCGAAAGCCUGAUGGAGCAACGCCGCGUGCAGGAUGAAGGCCUUCGGGUUGUAAACUGCUUUUAUAAGCGAGAAAUAUGAUGGUAACUUAUGAAUAAGGAUCGGCUAACUACGUGCCAGCAGCCACGGUCAUACGUAGGAUCCGAGCAUUGUCCGGAGUGACUGGGGGUAAAGAGUUGCGUAGGUGGCAUAAUAAGUAGCUAGUGAAAUCUGGUGGCUCAACCAUUCAGACUAUUAGCUAAACUGUUAAGCUCGAGACCGUUAGGGGUAACUGGAAUUUCUAGUGUAGGAGUGAAAUCCGUAGAUAUUAGAAGGAACACCAAUAGCGUAGGCAGGUUGCUGGGACGGUUCUGACACUAAGGCACGAAAGCGUAGGGAGCAAACGGGAUUAGAUACCCCUGUAGUC
rnacentral:rRNA from 1 species